UUCGCAAGAAGAGGGUUUCCAUACACACCGUUGAACUGUGGCUUCGGCCAUCACAAACUGUUAGUAAUGAAUGUAAUAUCAUAACAAAAACAAAACUUUUAACAACGGAUCUCUUGGCUCUCGCAUCGAUGAAGAACGCAGCGAAAUGCGAUAAGUAAUGUGAAUUGCAGAAUUCAGUGAAUCAUCGAAUCUUUGAACGCACCUUGCGCCCUUUGGUAUUCCGAAGGGCAUGCCUGUUUGAGUGUCAUGAAACCUCACCCCACUUGGGUUUUUGCCUGAGCGGUGGUGUAUUGGGUGUUGCCUUGCUAAAGGCUCGCCUUAAAGACAUAAGCACCUUGGAUGUAAUACGUUUCAUCCUUCUGGGUGGCUGAUAACCCCACAUAUUCAUGAUCUGGCCUCAAAUCAGGUAGGGCUACCCGCUGAACUUAAGCAUAUCAAUAAGCGGAGGAAAAGAAACUAACUAGGAUUCCCUUAGUAACGGCGAGUGAACCGGGAUGAGCUCAAAUUUAAAAUCUGGCGUCUUUCAGGCGUCCGAGUUGUAAUCUAUAGAGGCGUUUUCCGCGCCGGACCGCGUCCAAGUCUCUUGGA
rnacentral:rRNA from 1 species